CGCUGGCGGCAUGCCUUACACAUGCAAGUCGAACGGCAGCACGGAGCUUGCUCUGGUGGCGAGUGGCGAACGGGUGAGUAAUAUAUCGGAACGUACCCAGGAGUGGGGGAUAACGUAGCGAAAGUUACGCUAAUACCGCAUACGACCUAAGGGUGAAAGUGGGGGAUCGCAAGACCUCAUGCUCAUGGAGCGGCCGAUAUCUGAUUAGCUAGUUGGUGGGGUAAAGGCCUACCAAGGCAACGAUCAGUAGCUAGUCUGAGAGGACGACCAGCCACACUGGAACUGAGACACGGUCCAGACUCCUACGGGAGGCAGCAGUGGGGAAUUUUGGACAAUGGGGGCAACCCUGAUCCAGCAAUGCCGCGUGAGUGAAGAAGGCCUUCGGGUUGUAAAGCUCUUUUGUCAGGGAAGAAAAGGUCGCAGCUAAUAUCUGUGGCUCAUGACGGUACCUGAAGAAUAAGCACCGGCU
rnacentral:rRNA from 1 species